rnacentral:lncRNA from 1 species
AAAUAUUGUUAGUAAGGUCUCUGGGAAUAAUAGUAUAGAGUUCGUCUUCAUUGUUUGACCAUGGGGGUCCCCUGACUGAAUGACUGUUCCCACCUUUCUGUUUACCCUUAUUUCACACGUUCCCGCUUUAUUACCUUGUUAUUUUAUUAGCGUUAGGCAUAUAUAUUGUAACCGGGGCCCAUACAUGCUAAGAGUAUGCUUAGAUAAGUCCCGUUUGUCCAUUUCCCGACUCGACAGAAUGUCAACAUUCCGAUCGCCG